GUCUAUUUGGAGUUACAGAAAGUCUAACCUGCCCACUGAAAAAGUAAUUUUAAGGGCCGCGGUAUUAUGACCGUGCAAAGGUAGCAUAAUCAUUAGGUUUUUAAAUGGAAUCUUGUAUGAAGGGUUGGACAAAGGAAAAGCUGUCUUUGUUUUAAGAGUUGAAUUUUACUUUUAGGUGAGAAGGCUUAAAUGAUUUAGGGGGACGAUAAGACCCUAUAAAGCUUUACAUUAUAAUUGCAUUUGAUUAAAUUUAAUAUAAAAGUUUGAUGUAGUUUUUGUUAUAUUGGGGAGAUAAAAGUAUAAAUUUUAAUAACUGCUUUAAUUAUAAACAAUUAUAAGUGGAAAGAUGAUCCUAUUUUAUAGAGUAAAAGAUUAAGUUACUUUAGGGAUAACAGUGUAAUUUUUUUUGAGAGUUCAUAUCGAAAAAAAAGUUUGCAACCUCGAUGUUGAAUUAAAAUAUCUAUAUAAUGUAGUUGUUAUAGAAGGAGGUCUGUUCGACCUUU
rnacentral:rRNA from 1 species